rnacentral:lncRNA from 1 species
AAUGUGGGUAAAUGUGAGUAAAUGGGUGAAUGAAUGGGGAAGGUAAAAAGUGGGGUGGUGUAACGGUCGUGUCUCCAACGGUUACUAACGUUCACCUAGUCUGAAGGUGUCACGCUCGUGACAGAGGUGUUACGGGCGUCACAGGCACUUGGUGUGACGACCGUGAUGGCUAGUGUGACGCUCGUCACACAGUCAGCUUGCAACGGUCACUGCUUUUGUUUUUAUUAUUAUAUUUUAGUUUUUUGUUAUUUUGUUUUGCUUAUGCUUAUUUUAUUUUGCUAUUGUAAUGCUUUUAAAUUGUCUUGCAUGCUAUUCUACUACCAUAAUAU